rnacentral:rRNA from 1 species
UACGUAGGUGGCAAGCGUUGUCCGGAAUUAUUGGGCGUAAAGCGCGCGCAGGCGGCCUUUUAAGUCUGAUGUGAAAGCCCACGGCUCAACCGUGGAAGGUCAUUGGAAACUGAAAGGCUUGAGUACAGAAGAGGAAAGCGGAAUCCACGUGUAGCGGUGAAAUGCGUAGAGAUGUGGAGGAACACCAGUGGCGAAGGCGGCUUUCUGGUCUGUAACUGACGCUGAGGCGCGAAAGCGUGGGGAGCAAGCAGG